rnacentral:rRNA from 1 species
AUUGAACGCUGGCGGCAGGCCUAACACAUGCAAGUCGAGCGGAUGAAGGGAGCUUGCUCCUGGAUUCAGGGGCGGACGGGUGAGUAAUGCCUAGGAAUCUGCCUGGUAGUGGGGGAUAACGUCCGGAAACGGGCGCUAAUACCGCAUACGUCCUGAGGGAGAAAGUGGGGGAUCUUCGGACCUCACGCUAUCAGAUGAGCCUAGGUCGGAUUAGCUAGUUGGUGGGGUAAAGGCCUACCAAGGCGACGAUCCGUAACUGGUCUGAGAGGAUGAUCAGCCACACUGGAACUGAGACACGGUCCAGACUCCUACGGGAGGCAGCAGUGGGGAAUAUUGGACAAUGGGCGAAAGCCUGAUCCAGCCAUGCCGCGUGUGUGAAGAAGGUCUUCGGAUUGUAAAGCACUUUAAGUUGGGAGGAAGGGCAGUAAGUUAAUACCUUGCUGUUUUGACGUUACCAACAGAAUAAGCACCGGCUAACUUCGUG